CUCUCUCUCUCUCUCUCUCUCUCUCUCUCUCUCUCUCUCUCUCUCUCUCUCUCUCUCUCCCUCCUAGUAAACUUCAUCCAUCUUGAAGUUUCCUUACAAGUUCAAGUUCAAGUCUAAGAUCAAGAUUCAAAUCCUCUGAUUCCUUGCUGCUUUUUGUUGCAUUUUUAGACUAUGGAACGGUUGGAAUAGGAGAACCCAUGGGGAUUCGAGUACUUAGUAGGCGUUUACUUUCUAGUAGUCUUAGCAUUAUAUACUUCCGCUGUGCAAUGAAGAUACCAGUCAGAUCACUCCAACUCUGAUUUAUGCAGGGUGUGACAAAUUUGUGUUACAGAAAUAUACUUGUCGAACCCCUUUGUAAAGAUAAAGGCCAUUGCCCUUUUUGCUAGGGAACCAGAUUGUCCCAGGCUCACGAUUAUUUUCAUGCCAGGCAAUUGAGUUAUCCAUAAAGACAAUAAUUUGAGAUGGAUCAAUGCCUCAUUUCUUCAGCAUAUAAGAUGUAUAACAUACAGCUAACUACAGGGAUAAAUAAAAUUAUAUUAAAUACACGAUAAAACAUCUAGUUGAUAGUUACUUAAUGAAAACUGACAUUGUCGCUCACCUCCGUACCAUAACCAACCCAUCCGAGGGAACCAACAACUAGAACAACACAAAUGGAGCCCUCCUCAUGUGCCUUCGGUUGCAUCUUCACGUCACCGCUCUGAAAUGCCAUUGGAACAGCCCAAAUGGAGCCCAAAUUGGGUGGGUCCCUGGUUAUGUACCACCAAAGCCAUGUUUUGAGAGAGACCGCUAACAUAAAUGAUUCCUGUCGCUAGCCCCUUAUAAGAUCAAAAGUUCAUAAAUACAAGUUGCAGUCCAAUCAACAAAGAAUUCUACCACUAAAUUGAGCAGAGAACUUACAAUGUCAGUAGAGGAGGAACGACAUUGCGAGGUCGGAGGCGCAACGGCGUUGGUGUAGAGGAACCUAGGUGAAUCCCAAAUUGACUGAGUUUAAUGGAAGAGGAGGGGGUGAUGUAACCGUUAAAAAGGAGGAUUCGGGCCGUAUUUUUUCUCUUCGAAUUGUAAAAAUUUUAGU